rnacentral:lncRNA from 1 species
ACUGACAAAAUGAGAUUCACAUUAAGAAAUGCUACCCAUACUUAACAUUACCCACUUCAUCUCCCUCUUAAAAUACUUUUCCCAGGUCAGGACUGAACCACAACCCAAACCCACUCACCACAUUUCAAAGUGCAAAGCGGGAAAUGUACCGUAGACAGGGCACAGAGGCAACUGCAUGCCAUGCUGCUUUGACUAUUAAUAAGUUUACCAUAAUUAGAGACCUUAACGUUACCUUAGUUAAAAUUCACAUUCCCUGAAAGUCACUACUAAUUAUGCCCACUGUUACUAUUUUAUUGAUUUAAGAAAAAUUAUUUGCAUGUUAUUAUGGGCAUACCAAAUUCUUCUUCAAUUAUCUCUCCAGUUUAUUCACUCAAAGAAUAUUACAG